UACGGGGGGGGCAAGCGUUGUUCGGAAUUACUGGGCGUAAAGGGCGCGUAGGCGGCCACCGCAAGUCGACUGUGAAAUCUCCGGGCUUAACUCGGAAAGGUCAGCCGAUACUGCGGGGCUAGAGUGCAGAAGGGGCAACUGGAAUUCUCGGUGUAGCGGUGAAAUGCGUAGAUAUCGAGAGGAACACCUGCGGCGAAGGCGGGUUGCUGGGCUGACACUGACGCUGAUUGUGCGAAAGCUAGGGGAGCGAACGGG
rnacentral:rRNA from 1 species